rnacentral:lncRNA from 1 species
UUCAGACAACACCUUUUUGCUUUUCUUCCACAUCUUCACACUCCUUCAGGAUCAAAAACCUAAGCCACAUGACUGGAUGAGCCGUCACUUGGCCUUCAUUCGGGUAGUGAUGGUCCUCACUGUAGUGGAUGUUUUGCCUCCAGAUAUGCUUGAAUCACUGCAUUUUGGGAAUAACUUCAAAUGCAAGUCCUUGAUCUAAAUAAACAGAGUGACGAGGGGCCUAUGUAUCUAUACCACCUGUCUCCUGAGUAUACACCAGGCCAGCAUAAUCAGCCUCAGCAACUUCUGGUUGGAAAGCUUUAAACAUAAAUUUACAAAUAACAUUGUCAGUGUCCUCUUUUUUCUUUUUUGUUCCCUCAAUUUGUCUUUCAGUAGUGACAUAAUAUUCUUCACUGUGGCUUCUUCCAUUGUGACCCAGACCAAUCUACUUAAGGUCCGCAAAUACUGCUCACGUUCUCCCAUGAAGUCCAUCAUGUGGGGAGUGUUUUCCUUGUAGGAUUACGCUGCUCUCAAGUGCAUACAUGAUGAUCUUUUUGUCCAAGCAUCAGAGGUGAUCCCAGCAUCUUCACAGUACCAGCCUUUCCCCAAGAUCCUCGCCAGAGAAAAGGGUUACCCAGAUCAUCCUGCCACUGGUGAGUUGCUUUGUUGUCAUGUACUGGGUGGACCUUAUCAUCUCAUCCUCUUCAUCCCUGUUAUGGACGUAUAACCCAGUCAUCCUGAGCAUCUAGAACCUUGUAGCCUGUGUCUAUGCCACUCUCGUUCCAUUGGUACAAAUCCGCUCUGAUAAAAGAAUAGUUAAUAUUCUCCAAAAAAUGGAAUUAAAGUGCUAU